rnacentral:rRNA from 1 species
AGAGUUUGAUCCUGGUUCAGGACGAACGCUGGCGGCGUGCCUAACACAUGCAAAGUCGAGCGGAGCUAAUAGUAAUAUUAGUUUAGCGGCGGACGGGUGAGUAACGCGUGGGCAACCUGCCUCACACUGGGGGAUAACACAGGGAAAACUUGUGCUAAUACCGCAUAACAUCAUUGAAGGACAUCCUUUAAUGAUCAAAGGAGCAAUCCGGUGAGAGAUGGGCCCGCGUCCAAUUAGCUAGUUGGUGAUGUAACGGACCACCAAGGCGACGAUUGGUAGCCGAACUGAGAGGUUGAUCGGCCACAUUGGGACUGAGAUACGGCCCAGACUCCUACGGGAGGCAGCAGUGGGGAAUAUUGCGCAAUGGGGGAAACCCUGACGCAGCAACGCCGCGUGAAGGAUGAAGGUUUUCGGAUCGUAAACUUCUUUGAUGGGGGACGAAACAAAUGACGGUACCCCA